GCUUAGGCUCCCAAAGGCACGUG
rnacentral:snRNA from 1 species